rnacentral:rRNA from 1 species
GGAGGGCAAGUCUGGUGCCAGCAGCCGCGGUAAUUCCAGCUCCAAUAGCGUAUAUUAAAGUUGUUGCAGUUAAAAAGCUCGUAGUUGAAUUUCGGGAUCAAUAUGUUGGUCGUGCCUUGGUACGUACUAGUUUAUUGGUUUCUUCCUUCUGACGAACCAUGAUGUCAUUAAUUUGGUGUCUUGGGGAAUCAGGACUGUUACUUUGAAAAAAUUAGAGUGUUUAAAGCAGGCUCACGCUUGAAUACAUUAGCAUGGAAUAAUGAAAUAGGACGUUUGAUUCUAUUUUGUUGGUUUCUAGGAUCGACGUAAUGAUUAAUAGGGAUAGUUGGGGGCAUUAGUAUUCAAUUGUCAGAGGUGAAAUUCUUGGAUUUAUUGAAGACUAACUACUGCGAAAGCAUUUGCCAAGGAUGUUUUCAUUAAUCAAGAACGAAAGUUAGGGGAUCGAAGACGAUCAGAUACCGUCGUAGUCUUAACCAUAAACUAUGCCGACUAGGGAUCGGAUGAUGUUAAUUUUUUAAUGACUCAUUCGGCGCCUUACGGGAAAC